rnacentral:rRNA from 1 species
ACGAACGCUGGCGGCACGCUUAACACAUGCAAGUCGAACGAGAGAAGAGGAGCUUGCUUUUCUGAUCUAGUGGCGGACGGGUGAGUAACACGUGAGCAAUCUGCCUUUCAGAGGGGGAUACCGAUUGGAAACGAUCGUUAAUACCGCAUAACAUAAUUGAACCGCAUGAUUUGAUUAUCAAAGAUUUAUCGCUGAAAGAUGAGCUCGCGUCUGAUUAGCUAGUUGGUAAGGUAACGGCUUACCAAGGCGACGAUCAGUAGCCGGACUGAGAGGUUGAUCGGCCACAUUGGGACUGAGACACGGCCCAGACUCCUACGGGAGGCAGCAGUGGGGAAUAUUGCACAAUGGAGGAAACUCUGAUGCAGCGAUGCCGCGUGAGGGAAGAAGGUUUUAGGAUUGUAAACCUCUGUCUUCAGGGACGAAAAAAGACGGUACCUGAGGAGGAAGCUCCGGCUAACUACGUGCCAGCAGCCGCGGUAAUACGUAGGGAGCGAGCGUUGUCCGGAAUUACUGGGUGUAAAGGGAGCGUAGGCGGGAUCGCAAGUCAGAUGUGAAAACUAUGGGCUUAACCCAUAAACUGCAUUUGAAACUGUGGUUCUUGAGUGAAGUAGAGGUAAGCGGAAUUCCUAGUGUAGCGGUGAAAUGCGUAGAUAUUAGGAGGAACAUCAGUGGCGAAGGCGGCUUACUGGGCUUUAACUGACGCUGAGGCUCGAAAGCGUGGGGAGCAAACAGGAUUAGAUACCCUGGUAGUCCACGCCGUAAACGAUGAUUACUAGGUGUGGGGGGACUGACCCCUUCCGUGCCGCAGCAAACGCAAUAAGUAAUCCACCUGGGGAGUACGACCGCAAGGUUGAAACUCAAAGGAAUUGACGGGGGCCCGCACAAGCAGUGGAGUAUGUGGAUUAAUUCGAAGCAACGCGAAGAACCUUACCAGGUCUUGACAUCGUAUGCAUAGCUCAGAGAUGAGUGAAAUCUCUUCGGAGACAUAUAGACAGGUGGUGCAUGGUUGUCGUCAGCUCGUGUCGUGAGAUGUUGGGUUAAGUCCCGCAACGAGCGCAACCCUUACUGUUAGUUGCUACGCAAGAGCACUCUAGCAGGACUGCCGUUGACAAAACGGAGGAAGGUGGGGAUGACGUCAAAUCAUCAUGCCCCUUAUGACCUGGGCCUCACACGUACUACAAUGGCUGUCAACAGAGGGAAGCAAAGCCGCGAGGUGGGGCGAACCCCUAAAAGCAGUCUUAGUUCGGAUUGUAGGCUGCAACCCGCCUACAUGAAGUCGGAAUUGCUAGUAAUCGCAGAUCAGCAUGCUGCGGUGAAUACGUUCCCGGGCCUUGUACACACCGCCCGUCACGCCAUGGGAGUCGGUAACACCCGAAGCCUGUAGUCUAACCGCAAGGAGGACGCAGUCGAAGGUGGGAUUGAUGACUGGGGUG